CGCGUAGGUGGUUUGGUCAGUCAGAUGUGAAAGCCCCGGGCUCAACCUGGGAACUGCACCUGAUACUGCCAAACUAGAGUACGGUAGAGGGAAGUGGAAUUUCCGGUGUAGCGGUGAAAUGCGUAGAGAUCGGAAGGAACACCAGUGGCGAAGGCGACUUCCUGGACUGAUACUGACACUGAGGUGCGAAAGCGUGGGGAGCAAACA
rnacentral:rRNA from 1 species